rnacentral:sRNA from 1 species
GACUGGGCUAAGUGUUCGCUACGCGGGGCUACCGGAUCGGUCGGAAAUGGCAGAGGUGGAGGAGACACUGAAGCGACUGCAGAGCCAGAAGGGAGUGCAGGGAAUCAUCGUCGUGAACACAGAAGGAGGCUGGCAGCCCUUGGGACACUGUGGAGGCAGGAGCAGGCCCCCUGCUCAGGGCUGCCCCUGAUCAGUUGGGUGGCCUGAGGCAACUCCUUUCCCCGCUUCAGCCCUCAACUGCCUCAAGUCCUGUGAUGGUCCAGGGAAUCUCUUUUGGGCACUUCUUGCUCUAAGACCUGAAAGACUUUUGUCUAAGAGAGAAACUGUCUUCUGGGACUGGACAUUUUGACUCCAAGGAGACAACCCCAGGGGCCAACAGCCCCAGCUGUGACCCCCAGGCUUCCACAUGAACUCACAAAGGAGAGGCCCUCAUUCUUGCCUUAAAACUGCCCCUAAAGCCAAGCCUUUUCACUGGGAAGCCCUAGCUGCUUACCUUUUGGAUACUAGCAUUCCCAUCAAGAGCACCAUGGACAACCCCACCACCACCCAGUAUGCCAGCCUCAUGCACAGCUUCAUCCUGAAGGCACGGAGCACCGUGCGUGACAUCGACCCCCAGAACGAUCUCACCUUCCUUCGAAUUCGCUCCAAGAAAAAUGAAAUUAUGGUUGCACCAGAUAAAGACUAUUUCCUGAUUGUGAUUCAGAAUCCAACCGAAUAAGCCACUCUCUUGGCUCCCUGUGUCAUUCCUUAAUUUAAUGCCCCCCAAGAAUGUUAAUGUCAAUCAUGUCAGUGGACUAGCACAUGGCAGUCGCUUGGAACCCACUCAGACCAAUCCAGUGACCGUGUGUGGGCUGGCGGCUUUUCCUCCCCCACCAACGGAACCCCUGUGUGCACCAACCUUCCCCAGAGCUCCGGAGGGCCCUCUCCUCACUUCCAGGUUUUGGAGCAAGAGCUUGCAAGAAGCCCGCACCCAGCUUCCUUCUGACCUUCAGUUCACUUUGUCGCCCUUGGAGAAAGCUGUUUUUCUUUAACUAAAAAUAACCAAAAUGCUUA